rnacentral:rRNA from 1 species
AGUGUAUGGCAUAGCUCCCUUAAUGCACCUGAUUUCAUCUGAUCACAGAAGCUAGGCAGCGUUGGGCUUGGUCAGUACUUGGAUGGGAGAAGACUUCAAAAAUGAAGACACAAAUAUGU